GCAACUCUGGCAAAUUACAUCCCUUCCUAUGGAGACCGAAUUGCCCUCUUCAAUUUCUGCAAAAGCAAACAACCACUCUCAAAAAGAAAACAGGGUCUUCUGCCAAGAGUUCCCCUCUCAGAGAUGAACUUGAUGACGUUGUGCACACAUGGAACUCACACAAAAACAGGCCAAGUGGUGGUGCAUAAUCGGGUCGACCAGUAGUGAUGUAUUCUUUUCCAGAGCUGCACAGGGCUGAGGAUAGACUGAAACCUGUUUUCAUGGAGGAGAUCAUUGUGUGCAUGGAAGAGUGUACACCAAAAGGCCAAUAUCCCUGCGAUGAAACAGUGUUUGAACUUUGUUGUCUGCUUAUGGUAGAAAAUGAAUGGAAUGCCCCAAGAGAUCCACUUGUUGCUGCUGAUCUGUAUAUAAGGUUAAGAGAAAAAAUACUCCAAAGUGUUUAAGAAAUUUCUGUAGUCAAAAAGAGAAAAAACAGUGUUUCUGUUUAUCUUGAUUAGGUGAGUAGUUGUCAUGUCUUACAGGUACCCUAUAUGCAGUUAUUCUUGCUUUGUAUCAAAUGAAAGACAUUUUGGGGGCAAGCAAACGUCAUUUUUUACGUCAUUCUGUCAGAAUAUUAAUGGUUAUUACUGGUAUAAUGUAAAUGCAGUGUUUUGAUAUGAGUUUAGUCUUUCAGCUACCAUUGUACUGAUCAAAGUAAAAAAAUGUUUGGUUGACAUCUUGUCCAAAUAUAUAGUUUUUUUUACUUUUACACUCAGUCAUUAGAAGUAGCAAUGCUCAUUUCUUACUUGUCAAAUAUAGAUAGUGUGAUGUGAUCAUCAGUUUUGUAACAAAUUCUUCUAACUAGCUAUGCUUUCAGCUGCAUGAACAAAUGUAUUUUUUCUUCUAACACAAUUCUGUAUUGUUAAAUGAAAUCCAAUGACAAUGUAUGUGUGAAAUGUGAAUGAAAUGGCAGUACGAGUACAGCAAAAAGGAUAUUAUAAAAUUUGUAAACCUGCCUUCCAUUAAAUAUAAACAUCACUGUUUCGUUGCCAGGCAUUUGUGAAGUAUAAACUCACUAGCUAUCCGUUGCCAACUUUUUUUCUUACUAUUUCCAGAUCGAUAAUUGUAAGCCUUGUGUGUAUCAGCAAAUUACCCAUGCAUUAACUCGGGGAGGAGGGGCAAGUUCAACCCUCGAGAGCUACUGUCCUUCAUCUUUUAGGUGGAUCCCUUCUCCAUCAUACCUGAAUAAAAUGAAUAGCUUGUUAUCAAGCCUCUUCAGGGUUUCCCAGGGCAUCCCUGCACCUAUGUGACAAAACAGUGCCCAAAAGAAGUUCCAAGUUAUUGUCCCAUUAAGUCUGAAACCAUUUGCAAUUAUCAAAUGUGUAUCUAACUUUUUCUAAUGACAUGUUAAAGACAAAUAAAUGGCAUUCAGCACUGUUACUGA